AGCAGCCGCGGUAAUUCCAGCUCCAAUAGCGUAUAUUAAAGUUGUUGCAGUUAAAAAGCUCGUAGUUGAAUUUCGCAAUCGACGGAUUGGUCGCGCCUUCGGUGUGUACUGGUCUUGCCGGUUUCUCCCUUCUGACGAACCACGAUGUCAUUAAUUUGGUGUCGUGGGGAAUCAGGACUGUUACUUUGAAAAAUUAGAGUGUUUAAAGCAGGCAUUAGCUUGAAUACAUUAGCAUGGAAUAAUGAAAUAGGACGUUUGAUCUUAUUUUGUUGGUUUCUAGGAUCGACGUAAUGAUUAAUAGGGAUAGUUGGGGGCAUUAGUAUUCAAUUGUCAGAGGUGAAAUUCUUGGAUUUAUUGAAGACUAACUACUGCGAAAGCAUUUGCCAAGGAUGUUUACAUUAAUCAAGAACGAAAGUUAGGGGAUCGAAGACGAUCAGAUACCGUCGUAGUCUUAACCAUAAACUAUGCCGACUAGGGAUCGGAUGAUGUUAAUUUUUAAUGUACUCA
rnacentral:rRNA from 1 species